rnacentral:rRNA from 1 species
CACGUAGUUGGCCGGUGCUUCUUCUGCAGGUACCGUCACUUUCGCUUCGUCCCUGCUGAAAGAGGUUUACAACCCGAAGGCCGUCAUCCCUCACGCGGCGUUGCUGGAUCAGGCCUUCGCCCAUUGUCCAAUAUUCCCCACUGCUGCCUCCCGUAGGAGUCUGGGCCGUGUCUCAGUCCCAGUGUGGCCGGUCACCCUCUCAGGCCGGCUACCCGUCGAAGCCUUGGUGGGCCAUUACCCCACAACAAGCUGAUAGGCCGCGAGCUCAUCCAUCACCGCCGGAACUUUCCACCACCGUCAGAUGCCUGAAGUGGUCAUAUUCGGUAUUAGCACCGGUUUCCCGGAGUUAUCCCGAUGUGAUGGGCAGAUUGCUCACGUGUUACUCACCCGUUCGCCGCUCGUCGUACCCGAGGGCCUUACCGCUCGACUUGCAUGUGUUAAGCAGCCGCCAGCCGUCGUCCUGAGCCGAGAGUACAAACGUCU